UAUCGGAGAAUAAUUGCUUUGUCUCCUGAUCACCUUACCGCCACAGAUGAGGCAAAGAGGUUGCGGAAGC
ensembl:misc_RNA